GCACAGUGCCAUCAUCUAUGAAGACCCCCAGCACCACCCGCUGCUCCGCCUUUGCUGGAACAAGCAGGACCCCAACUACUUGGCUACAAUGGCCAUGGACGGCAUGGAGGGCAGUCUGCUGUAGAUUCUCUCAGCCUGUCGGUAGCCAUGUUUCUCUCCAACGGUUCUGCGUUGAAAUUGAAACAUUGGUCAGCCAAAGAAGCUUUUUCUUUUCUUUUCCUUUUUAUAUGAAUUCAGAAAGGAUUGUGUUUGUUUUUUUUCUUCCUUCUGUCUGGCAUGAAAUAUUUGUUUCUUGACACUUAACCAAUGUUUGACAUCGCUACUUUAUUUGAUCGGCGGUCAUCCUGGAUGUACGUGUGCCUUGCACCCCGGUGGCUCGGCUGAACAACCAUCGCGCUGGUGUCAACGGCAUCGCCUGGGCCCCCCACUCGUCAUGUCACAUCUGCACUGCAGCCGACGACCACCAGGCUCUGAUCUGGGACGUCCAGCAGAUGCCACGAGCCAUUGAGGAUCCCAUCCUGGCCUACACUUCUGAAGGGGAGGUCAACAACGUGCAGUGGGCGUCCACGCAGCCGGACUGGAUCGCCAUCUGCUACAACAACUGCUUGGAGAUCCUGCGUGUCUAAAACCACCAACACUUGUGUGGAGAAGAGGAACUCCUUCUUGUUUCAGAUUUCGGACUUGGUUUUUUAGUCUUCGUCCAACUGCUUUCAAGACAAGGAUGAGGUCGCGAGUGAACUUUCCGAGCGUGUUUGGAGUGUCGCACACCAACCCCACGAUAACCCAGUUUACAUUCUGUCCCAUGUCUCUACUCCGUUGUCCUUCUAUUAAACGUAUGAAGCUCUUAUUUAUUUUGCUCACACCGCAGGGUUCAGAAGCUUUGAAAAUCCAAGCGGCUGUGUAUGAAAAUCCGAUUUAUUUGUAUGCCUCUCGUGUCAUUUCAGCCAGUUGUGAGACUAUCAGGAAGGGUUAAGAUGUCGGGUGCCUCAUCUUUUUGAGUUGUAAAGGUUGAAACAAACUGCUGAAGAUGACCUCUCUGGGAAGAUGUCUUCUUGUGGACUCGUACCAUGUUAUUGAUGAUUUCAAAGGUCAGUCUACGAUGGUCCCUGUAAGAGUUUUUUCAAACGGGUGUUUGUCCAGUUUUAUAAAUGGUCAGAUAACCUGAGAGGGAUUCGUAUUCUGUCCUCAUAUGAUGCGUUUUAGUUUGGCUGGUGACGCUGUGAGGCCGCCACGUCCAGCAUCACUCGGAACCUCCCGGAGCAGUGUCGCCCCCGCCCCCCCUAUGAACUCCCCACUUAUUCUCUUCUUUAUUUGUUUUGUGCUUUUGAAAGCUGCAUUUUCUUUUGUGUUUUUAGAGUUGUGAAGAUGGGAGGAGCGUGAAACAACUUCCUGGCUGAGUCUGCCUCUCUUGUUGUUGUUUCCCAGUAAUUAAAGGGUCAUGUCCUUGUAGCAUGCCAUUACAAGGCAACAAUGUACAUACAUAUAAAUAUAUCAACUAGAGAUGUUGGUAAGACAAGUGUU